rnacentral:rRNA from 1 species
AUAUUGGUCAAUGGCCUAACGGCUGAACUGGCAACUUGGAGAAGUGGCAAGUCUUCCAGUAUGGGGAGCAAAACAGCUAUGGGUCAAGUCCGAUAUCUUUAGGAGAAGUCUUAUUGUGAGGGCGAGUUUUAUAACACCAUAGGACUGGCCGUCCCAUAUGAAAAGAUUAUAUUAGAAUUGAAUGAAGCUUUGUUUAUAUAUUGAUAAUGACAGUAUAUAUAUCGUGUCUUGACUAAUUGCGUGCCAGCAGUCGCGGUAAUACGUAAGAGACUAGUGUUAUUCAUCUUAAUUAGGUUUAAAGGGUACCCAGACGGUCAAUAUAGCUUAUAAAAUGUUAGUACUUGACUAGAGUUUUAUGUAAGAGGGCAGUACUUGAGGAGGAGAGAUGAAAUUUCGUGAUACCAAAGGGACUCUGUAAAGGCGAAGGCAGCCCUCUAUGUAAAAACUGACGUUGAAGGACGAAGGCACAGAGAACAAACAGGAUUAGAUACCCAAGUAGUCUUUGCAGUAAAUGAUGAAUGCCAUAGGUUAGAUGGGUGGGUUAGUCGUAGUUUGAGUUAGUUUAGCAAACUAAUGAUUCAGACUAGUCCACCAUAAAUUUGGUCUAUAAAUGAAAGUGUAAGCAUUUCACCUCAAGAGUAAUGUGGCAACGCAGGAACUGAAAUCACUAGACCGUUUCUGACACCAGUAGUGAAGUAUGUUAUUUA